rnacentral:tRNA from 1 species
GGGGUUAUAGUUAAAUUUGGUAGACGACUGCGUUGCAUGCAUUUUAAUAUGAGUUCAAGUUCAUUAACUCCAAUAAU